rnacentral:lncRNA from 1 species
AUGGUGGUAGAAAGACUGUUGGACCUGACCGGCCAUAUCAAAGGGGACCGAGAGCAAGUGCUGCUCAACUCCACUCAAAGGGUCCAGCUCGCUGUGCUUCUCCAAUCAACCCGUGAGCUUCUCUCUCUUGAAGCCUUCUGCUCUAAACUCUUCUGGCAGGAGUAUUGGAGGGAUCAGGUGAGUGUGUGUGUGUGCACAAACCAGACUCUUGUCUUUCUACUGCCAAUGCCAUACCUUCGGGUUUUGGCAAUUUGAGCCUAUUUUUGAUUUUUUGUUUCAUAUACCUGUUUGUGUGUACCUGACAGUUGCUACAGUUUUUUUCCAUUAACUUGUCCAGUGAUUUUUGUUGUCAACAGUUAGAAAGUUCUAGAAAAUAGAUGCGACAAUUACCUGUUACGGUGCGUUUCCAUUGAUCUGUCUUGUGUCGAUUAAAAACAUCUGGACGUAAUGUCACAAAACAAAAGUUUCCGCAAAAACCUAGGACCCUGGAGUGUUGAAUAAAAAUUGAGUGUUUCCAAUAUCCAUUUAGGCAAAUUGCACAUGAAUAAAUUGGUGACAGCCUGUAUGCCCUCCCACCUAUCUGAUUCAUGUUCUGCAAAAGCUAGCAUGGAUAGAAUGCAUGAAUUGAUUUGCCAUAUUCUAAUAAUUCUCAUGUGCCAACGUAUCGCCAUGGUCUGUGCCAUGGGGAAACUUGCAUCCAGAAAAGUAAAGCGAAGCAAUUCGUUCUUGAAAGUCAGGACAAUCCUUGUCCUGCAAAUAAACAUGAUUUUUUUGUAGUUGAAAAAACUUGUAUAUAGCGUGCAGUAGGCAUGUAUAAUUAAUGUGAAGUCGAGCUUUAUAGUUACGUGAUGACAUCACGUCUCCUGCGUACCUUCAGAAUUAUACGAAGAAAAAAAAAUCUUUUUGAAAUGUUAUUUUGUUUCGUCAGAGAAAAUGUGUACUGAUGUCAUGUUUUUUUUUGUUAUUGUAAUUUAACAUUUUAUAAUAGAAAAAAAUAAGGAUAAUUUAUUUGAAAAACACUUUACAUUAUUUGUUGCAAAUAAAGUUAGACAAAAGAAAAAUCCAGCCCUGGCAAACAUUUAUCUUUAGAACAUUUGUCCUAUAGCUACCGUUUCCCUUACACAUAUCGCAAUGUUAUUUUUUUUGUGGCAUUGCUUUUGUCUAAUAAACCUGUGUCAAUCGAAACCUGCCUAGUGAUUUC